AAGUCGUAACAAGGUUUCCGUAGGUGAACCUGCGGAAGGAUCAUUAAAACAGUAAUGUUUAAAGAGGUGCAGGGCUCGCUGAUGCGCGACGGGGAGGGAACUUGGUGUUGCUUCUACGCUUGGGAGAUCUUGGUGCAGACUAGGCCCGCACGGGCUGAAAUCGCCGGGUUCUCUGCGCGUAAGGGCACGCCGAGGAACCCCCUGUCCAUAAAGGUUGAAGCCUGCCUUGCAUCGUAAACAAAACAAAAAAUUUCACCUCAAACCUCUUUGACUGAAAACAUCUUUGUCGACCGCUUUGCGGCACGGCAGAAAUUUGAACCAAAAAACAACUUUUAACAAUGGAUCUCUUGGCUCUC
rnacentral:misc_RNA from 1 species